AUCGCUUCUCAGCCUUUUGGCUAAGAUCAAGUUUAGUAUCUGUUCUUACAAAAAAUGUCUAAAAGGCAGGAGGGGGCCAUAUGGUAAUAGUAAUUUAACCGUAAACAAAAC
rnacentral:snRNA from 1 species